GUGAGUAGCUGCGUCUCCUCGGAGAGCGCUGCACCUCUACUGGGGAAGGAUAGCUGAGCGGUGUGCCCUGUGGUCCUCUCCAGUGGGUACCAGGAGGGACUAGACGACCAGGGCGCCUCCCUCGGAGGAGAGUUGCCUACAGGGGUAGACCAUGAUCGGGGACCUGGGAGCCAGGUCAAGAUAGGCGUGAUACAGACAACCUCAGAGUCCAGCACACCAGGUCGGGAAGAAAGAGUUGGGGUUGCUGGGGUGGCGAGGCCACAGGUCACCUGGGCAGAUCUGGAGUGGUCUGAGCCCAGCCAAACCUUUCACCUACCCAGCGCCCACAACAGUCGACCUCCCUGGAUGCUCUCGGUCUGGGCACCCCCCGGGAACUCCCACUCGCACACUUUCCGUGCCCUUGGCACCCGCUGCGGGCGCGGGUCUAGGACAGCGCCACCUUGCGGACUCUCCUGGCCUUUCAGGAGCGACUGGCGGCAAUGGCUGCAAGCGGAGGUGGCAGUGCUUGGCUGCCCUUUGAGGAAAAAGAAGUUUCCAAAUCAAUGGUCUAUGAGUCUACACCCCUCCCCUUAUACUCUACAGAGAUGUUUGGGAGACGGAAGGUGAAGGAAGAAUGGCUAUGAACAGUCUAUCUCUUGGGCAGCAAUAAGGAGCCUGGGGUGGGGGUUGGAGGGAUGUCAAGAAAUUUAGUGUUUGUCCUCAAAACACCAGGACCCCGUAACUGCCUGGACACCACUUAGCCUUUGUUAGGGCCGAGAACGUUGUGUCCUUCACAACGCCAUUCACGUGGACUCCGAUAUGACGGCACCAUGCCUGAUCUGUAACUAUGCCCAUUAAAAUUCCCUGUUGGGCCAUAUCAUCCCCUGAGUGUUCUCAACCUUACCUUGCGCUACACUAUAAUGGGUUAGUCCAUUGAAUUAACUCUGCAUUAUUGGCGGUGUGGGGCAGGACUGGAAGCUACACUCAGCAGAAAUGGCCCUGUGAAAGCUGCCUUUUCUUAUAAACAACUAUGAGAUGUCCCGGCCCUCCUCUGUUUCCUCCUUUGCCCUGUGGAUAACUGUGCCUGGAGACUAAGUCCCCCAAAUCGGUUCAUACUUCGAAACCUCUCCCCAGGCUCUGUGGGGUGGGGAAGGCAGACUACUGCAGGGCUGAGAAAACAUCUUGAAGUUACUGGGUUUCUUUCAAGCUUUUGUUUUUGCUGUUAUUGUUGUUAUUUUGUUUUAUUUAAUUCAUAAGUUUAACUGGAAACGUGUGGCUACUGCCCUUUAAAAUCAUGACUUUGUAGAAUUAGAGGCUGUUCACUCUUCAGAUGGUUAAAGCACUCUCAAAGUUGCCUAUCAUAAAGCACUGUAAAAAUCCUUACCUACAACCAUCUCACCAAGAGGUGGAGGGAGGGGAGAGGGCAGAGGACGUGAAGCGGGGAUCUAGCUUGGUGAAGAGUGUUUGCCUGGCAUGCAACAAUCCUGACUUUGGUCCCUAGCAUCAUGUAAGAAAGAAAUUAAGAUAUUUCUUUUAAUUCCUUUGGUUGCAUCUUGGUGGAGUGAUAGGAUUGUUCGUUUUCAAUCAGGUAUGAUGGGGGCAUAUUUGCAAUCCCAGCACUGAAUAGAAAAGACUAAUACAGAGUUUCAAGCCACAUAGUAAGACCCCUGUCUCACAAAAAGAAAAACAAAACAAACAAACAAACAAAACCAAAACAAGCUAAAAAAA
rnacentral:lncRNA from 1 species